rnacentral:rRNA from 1 species
GAUGAACGCUAGCGACAGGCCUAACACAUGCAAGUCGAGGGGCAGCGCGGAUCAAGCUUGCUUGAUUUGGCGGCGACCGGCGCACGGGUGCGUAACAGGUGUGCAAUCUGUCCAUAAUCGGGGAAUAGCCCAGCGAAAGUUGGAUUAAUGCUCCAUGUGAGUUUUAGAGGCAUCUCUUUAAUUUGAAACGUAAGGAUUAUGGGUGAGCACGCUUCUGAUUAGGUAGUUGGUGAGGUAACGGCUCACCAAGCCGACGAUCAGUAGGGGUUCUGAGAGGAAGGUCCCCCACAUUGGAACUGAGACACGGUCCAAACUCCUACGGGAGGCAGCAGUGGGGGAUAUUGCACAAUGGGGGAAACCCUGAUGCAGCAACGCCGCGUGAAGGAAGAAGGUCUUCG